rnacentral:rRNA from 1 species
AGAGUUUGAUCCUGGCUCAGGAUGAACGCUAGCGACAGGCUUAACACAUGCAAGUCGAGGGGCAGCGGGAUGUAGCAAUACAUUGCCGGCGACCGGCGCACGGGUGAGUAACGCGUAUGUAACCUGCCUUAUACAGGGGGAUAGCCCAUGGAAACGUGGAUUAAUAUCCCAUAGUACUGAGAGACCGCAUGGUUUUUCAGUUAAAGCUUCGGUGGUAUAAGAUGGACAUGCGUCCUAUUAGGUAGUUGGUCGGGUAACGGCCUACCAAGCCAAUGAUAGGUAGGGGUUCUGAGAGGAAGGUCCCCCACACUGGUACUGAGACACGGACCAGACUCCUACGGGAGGCAGCAGUGAGGAAUAUUGGUCAAUGGGCGGAAGCCUGAACCAGCCAAGUCGCGUGAAGGAUGACUGCCCUAUGGGUUGUAAACUUCUUUUGUAAUGGGAGAAUAAGGAUUACGUGUAAUCCGAUGACUGUACUUUACGAAUAAGCAUCGGCUAACUCCGUGCCAGCAGCCGCGGUAAUACGGAGGAUGCGAGCGUUAUCCGGAUUUAUUGGGUUUAAAGGGUGCGUAGGCGGUUGUGUAAGUUAGUGGUCAAAUGUCAUGGCUCAACCUUGGCUUGCCAUUAAAACUGCACGACUCGAGUACAGACGAGGUAGGCGGAAUAAGUUAAGUAGCGGUGAAAUGCAUAGAUAUAACUUAGAACUCCGAUAGCGAAGGCAGCUUACCAGACUGUAACUGACGCUGAUGCACGAGAGCAUGGGUAGCGAACAGGAUUAGAUACCCUGGUAGUCCAUGCCGUAAACGAUGCUCACUGGCUCUGUGCGACACAUUGUACGGGGUCAAGCGAAAGUAUUAAGUGAGCCACCUGGGGAGUACGUCGGCAACGAUGAAACUCAAAGGAAUUGACGGGGGCCCGCACAAGCGGAGGAACAUGUGGUUUAAUUCGAUGAUACGCGAGGAACC